UGGGGAAUUUUGCGCAAUGGGCGAAAGCCUGACGCAGCAACGCCGCGUGCGGGAUGAAGGCCUUCGGGUUGUAAACCGCUUUCAGCAGGGAUGAAACUGACAGUACCUGCAGAAGAAGCCCCGGCUAACUACGUGCCAGCAGCCGCGGUAAUACGUAGGGGGCAAGCGUUAUCCGGAUUCAUUGGGCGUAAAGAGCGCGUAGGCGGCUUGUUAAGCGAGAUGUGAAAACCGGGGGCUUAACCCGCGGCCUGCAUCUCGAACUGGCAGGCUUGAGUCUGGUAGAGGAGUGUGGCAUUCCCAGUGUAGCGGUGAAAUUCGCAGAUAUUGGGAGGAACACCAGUGGCGAAGGCGGCACUCUGGGCCACGACUGACGCUGAGGCGCGAAAG
rnacentral:rRNA from 1 species